CGUGUAGGCGGUCAAGUAAGUGGAAUGUGAAAUCCCUCGGCUUACCCGAGGACCUGCAUCCCAAACUGCUUGGCUUGAGUAUGGGAGAGGAUGAGGGAAUUCCUGGUGUAGCGGUGAAAUGCGUAGAUAUCAGGAGGAACACCGGUGGCGAAAGCGCUCAUCUGGCCCAAUACUGACGCUGAGGCGCGAAAGCUAGGGAGCAAACG
rnacentral:rRNA from 1 species